GGACGGGUGGGUGAGUGGUUGAAACCAGCCCCCUGCUAAGGGGCCAGGCCCGAAAUGGUCUCCCGGGUUCAAAUCCCGGUCCGUCCG
rnacentral:tRNA from 1 species